GGCACGGUUGCUCGAGAUCUUCAUUCGUGGUUGCUGUUGUUGCUCUUCAUUGAGUGUCAAUGGUGCCUCGAGAUUUUACUUUGAAAAAAUUAGAGUGCUCAAAGCAGGUUGUGAUGCCUGAAUAAUGGUGCAUGGAAUAAUAGAAUACGAUUCGGUUCUAUUUUGUUGGUUUUCGAACCGGAGAUAAUGAUUGAAAGGAACAGACGGGGGCAUUCGUAUUGCUGCGUUAGAGGUGAAAUUCUUGGAUCGCAGCAAGAUGAACAAUUGCGAAAGCAUUUGCCAAGAAUGUUUUCAUUAAUCAAGAACGAAAGUUAGAGGUUCGAAGGCGAUCAGAUACCGCCCUAGUUCUAACGGUAAACUAUGCCAACCAGCGAUUCGCCGAAGUUCAUUUAAGACUCGGCGAGCAGCUUCCGGGAAACCAAAGUGUUUCGGUUCCGGGGGAAGUAUGGUUGCAAAGCUGAAACUUAAAGGAAUUGACGGAAGGGCACCACCAGGAGUGGAGCCUGCGGCUUAAUUUGACGCAACACGGGAAAACUCACCCGGCCCGGACACUGGAAGGAUUGACAGAUUGACAGCUCUUUCUUGAUUCAGUGGGUAGUGGUGCAUGGCCGUUCUUAGUUGGUGGAGCGAUUUGUCUGGUUAAUUCCGAUAACGAACGAGACUCUACCCUAUUAAAUAGUGAAUAACAGGUCUGUGAUGCCCUUCGAUGUCCGGGGCUGCACGCGCGCUACAAUGAAAGCGUCAACGUGAGUUACGUCCUUACCUGAAAAGGUUUGGCAAUCGAAUGAAACGUUUUCUUGAAUGGAAUAGGGAAUUGCAAUUGUUUCCCUUGAACGAGGAAUUCCCAGUAAGCGUGAGUCAUUAGCUCGCGUUGAUUACGUCCCUGCCCUUUGUACACACCGCCCGUCGCUACUACCGAUUGGAUGAUUUAGUGAGGUGUUUUGACUGGCGCCAGUAGUCGGAUGUAUUCGGCUUCGCGCCGGGAAAUUUCCCAAACCAAAUCAUCUAGAGGAAGUAAAAGUCGUAACAAGGUUUCCGUAGGUGAACCUGCGGAAG
rnacentral:rRNA from 1 species